UCCACCAUGGCCUGGGCCCCCCUGCUCCUCGCCCUGCUCACUUACUGCUCAGGGGUCAGGUCACAGCCUGUGGUGACUCAGGAGCCCUCCAUGUCGGUGACCCCAGGAGGGGCCGUCACGCUGUCCUGCAGCCUGAGCACUGGAGCCAUCACCAGCAGCAACUAUCCUACCUGGGUACAGCAGAAACCUGGAUCAGCUCCUCGGACACUUAUAUAUAACACCAAUAGCAGACCCUCCGGGAUCCCUGCCCGGUUCUCUGGGGCCAUUUCAAGUAACGACGCUGCCCUGACCAUCACCGGUGUGCAGGCAGAGGACGAGGCUGACUAUUACUGUGUUGUGUAUACAGGUAGCAGUGGUAGUGUGUUCCACAGUGAUUCAGUCAGAUGAGGAACUGAGACAAAACCUCUCUUGCCUUC